rnacentral:rRNA from 1 species
GACGAACGCUGGCGGCGUGCUUAACACAUGCAAGUCGAACGGGAGGAAAAGAGAAGCUUGCUUCUUUUUGAAUCUAGUGGCAAACGGGUGAGUAACACGUAAACAACCUGCCUUCAGGAUGGGGACAACAGACGGAAACGACUGCUAAUACCGAAUGUGUUCCGGAGACCGCAUGAUUUCCGGAAGAAAGGAUGGCCUCUAUUUAUAAGCUAUCGCCUGAAGAGGGGUUUGCGUCUGAUUAGGCAGUUGGUGAGGUAACGGCCCACCAAACCUACGAUCAGUAGCCGGUCUGAGAGGAUGAACGGCCACACUGGAACUGAGACACGGUCCAGACUCCUACGGGAGGCAGCAGUGGGGAAUCUUCCGCAAUGGACGAAAGUCUGACGGAGCAACGCCGCGUGAGUGAUGACGGCCUUCGGGUUGUAAAGCUCCGUGAUCGGGGACGAAUGGCUGGUAUGCUAAUAUCAUAUCAGAGUGACGGUACCCGAAUAGCAAGCCACGGCUAACUACGUGCCAGCAGCCGCGGUAAUACGUAGGUGGCAAGCGUUGUCCGGAAUUAUUGGGCGUAAAGCGCGCGCAGGCGGCUUCUUAAGUCCAUCUUAAAAGUGCGGGGCUUAACCCCGUGAUGGGAUGGAAACUGGGAGGCUGGAGUAUCGGAGAGGAAAGUGGAAUUCCUAGUGUAGCGGUGAAAUGCGUAGAGAUUAGGAAGAACACCGGUGGCGAAGGCGACUUUCUGGACGACAACUGACGCUGAGGCGCGAAAGCGUGGGGAGCAAA